rnacentral:lncRNA from 1 species
GUAAUUUAUUCUAAUACAACAAAAAUUGCUUCUCAGGAGAGACACUAUCCUUUGAUAGGAGCCUUUAUAGUUCAUUAAUGUCACUAGUCUGCAAGCUUUCCCUUGGUUGUCUAGAGAAACUAGACUCAAGCACAGUCAGCCAUGGCAUGCUAGUCCUUCAAAAGUGGGCCUGGGAAAAAAGUCUCCAUCUACAUAUUUUUGUGCUGAUUCGACCAGAUUCUUCUCAUUGAUUUAACUGAGAGGAAUGAAAAGACAACCAGUUGAUCACAACAAGAGAAAGGGACAGACAGGAGCAGGCAUGCAGGUAACUCUCCCCCACUCCUCCCAUUUCUCCUCAUUCCACCAGGGAACCCUGAUUAAGGAACGAAGAAGUCCUACAAAGAGGAGGUCUCAAGUACCAAUCUGCAGCCAUUUGAUGAUGGCAGGAUGGGGACUCUGGCCUCCAGAGGAGGUGCUCCCUGAGGGCCCAGCCUGCUCCAGCCACUCAGAUGACCUGCAGCAGCACCUGCCUAUCAUUCAGCACUUUGAACAGACUUACACUGGAGAGGAGACCAUGUCGCUCUGUGUGUCCACCAUGCCCAUUGUCCUCCAUGUCCGAAGCCCUCUUCUAUGAAAAACAGACGAGGGUUUCUCUGCUCCUAUGGCCAUUAUGCUUUACAUCAUGUGACUCCUGCUUUCUGCUGAUUUAGUUCAAGGAUUUACCUUUGAGACAAAGAUACCUAAAACCCUGGCUAUCAGCCCACAAAGUGUUACUAAACUCUGCCCAGCAAGGAUGGUCAAUAUUGGAUGUUGACUAACCCAUAAAGCAGAUCUCCCUUGGGAAUUUGGAGGGAGACUGAAGUGAGCAGAAGGUAGAGACACAUUGAGACUUCAGAAAUCAUAAGACAGUAAAAGCUAACAGAGAGCUUGAAGUGGAGAGAAAGCAAGUGGAAAGACUCGUGUUGGAGGAUACAGAAGUACAAGCAGAGACUGAAAUCAAGCCACUUACAAGUUGGGAAUCCUUGUCUUAGAAAGCAACAGAAGUUUACUGCUGAAUGGAUCUUUGCAGAUGUUGCUGUUGACCAUAAGAGCUGCUGUCAGUCCUCUACAUCACAUUCUAAAUAAGCUACAGUUCCAGCUGCUGGCUGAAUAGUUGCUAAGACACAAUCUCCUGGUUCUUACUUCCCUUCUGUUAUCUGUAAACCUACACCAACUAAGAUAACUUGAAAAUGUCAUGUUUUUCUCAAACCCAAAUAGGAUUGACCAUUAAGGGCAUUUAUACAUUGCAAAUGAAUUAUUUAAUAGCAAAUUUGUCUCCAUUGUAUUUUAAAAAGAUGAGAUUUAAAAUAAUACUAAAUGAGUCUUACCUGUGUAUAUAUUCUACUGGUGUUAUCUAAGAUCUGAUAAUACUUUGUAAUUCUAUUUAUCUAUUUAGCAAAAGCAAUCAAUUUAUUUCAGAUUACUUUUAAUCCAAAGAGAAGAUGAAAGUAUGUAUCUUUUCCAAUGAAACUUGUUAUAAUUCAAACAAUUGAAAGUGAAUGGAGAGACAUAAGAAAGUUAAGGAUAUUAUCUGAAGUAAUUCAAUUCCAGUUUUCAAUAAAACAAAUUCAAUUACUGUGUAACAAUCUCCUCCCUGUUGAUUAAAAAAACACUGACGAUGAAGUGGUGAAUUUGGCAAUAGAGCAUCCAUUCUAAGAAAAUAACAGUUGAUGAAAAUUUAUGGAAUCUGGCCAGCCUGGUGGCUCACGCCUGUAAUCCCAGCACUUUGGGAGGCCGAGGCGGGCAAUCACAAGGUCAGGAGUUCGAGACCAGCCCAACCAACAUGGUGAAAACCCUAUCUCUAGUAAAAAUACAAAAAUUAGCCAGCUUGGUGGUAUGGGCCUGUAAUCCCAGCUACUCUGGAGGCUGAGGCAGGAGAAUCACUUGAAACCCGGAGGCAGAGGUUGCAGUGAGCCCAGAUCAUGCCACUACGCUCCAACCUGGGUGACAGAGCAAGACUUUGCCUCAAGAAAAAAAAAAAGUUAGCCGGUAGUGGUGGUGCAUGUCCAGCUACUUGAGAGGCUAAGGGACAAAAAUAGCUUGACCCUGGGAGGCCGAGGUUGCAGUGAGCCAAGACUGCACCACUAUGCUCCAGCCUGGGUGACACAGCAAGGAUCUGUCUUAAAAUAUAC